rnacentral:tRNA from 1 species
UGUGGCUCAGUGGUAGAGCAUUUGCCUGGCAAGCAUGAGGCCCUGGGUUCCAUCCUCAGCA